ensembl:lncRNA
CGAGACUGAAGCGAGGGGCGCGGGCGCCGGGGGCGGGACGCAGGGGGCGUCCCUGCGUCCGGGGGCGACGCCGCGGGCCCCAGCUCCUUCCGCGCCCGGCGCGGGCCGGCUGGGGUCGGGCGAGCAGAGCGCGCGUGGUCGAGGGCGCUGGAGCGCGCGGCUCGGCAUGUUCGCGCGUUGUAGCCCGUGCCGUGUUUCUUGUCCCUGGCGCCUGCUCGGUGCCAUCCCAGUGAGUUUGAUUGAAACGCGGCUGCAAGAAGGAACACUUGUGCAACGUGUUCCAGUCCGGGAACCAUAAGCUCAAGGCUUCAGCACCACGAGGCAGAAGAGGAGCAUGGGGAGGAGGGGAGUGGACCACACCUCCUCCUGCCACAUCUGGCUGGGUACUGGAGCCGACAGCUGGGCAAAUGGAAACCUCACUUACAGCAUGAUUCUGGAAGGCCUGUUUUGUUCUUCCAGAGGACAGCUUCCCCGGACAGAGGGCGGAGGGCUGCGCGGAGGCCCAGCCGGCUGGACGUCCGAAAGCGGAGCCUGCUCAGCGAGACAGAAAGCAAACGAAAUCACUCAAGGGAAACUUGGCUGGAGACAAAACAGAUUCAAUUUCCCGACUCCUCUGCUUUCUCUCCCGAAUUAUUUGCUUUCGCAGAGGCACAUUAAACAAAUAAAACACUAAAAAUGGAAGCUCCUCUGCUCCCUGGCUCAGA